GACGAACGCUGGCGGCGUGCUUAACACAUGCAAGUCGAGCGGUAAGGCCCUUUCGGGGGUACACGAGCGGCGAACGGGUGAGUAACACGUGGGUGACCUGCCCUCAGCUCUGGGAUAAGCCCGGGAAACUGGGUCUAAUACCGGAUAUGACUUCAUGACGCAUGUUGUGGAGUGGAAAGCCUUGUGCGGCUGAGGAUGGGCCCGCGGCCUAUCAGCUUGUUGGUGGGGUGANGGCCUACCAAGGCGACGACGGGUAGCCGGCCUGAGAGGGCGACCGGCCACACUGGGACUGAGACACGGCCCAGACUCCUACGGGAGGCAGCAGUGGGGAAUCUUGCGCAAUGGGCGAAAGCCUGACGCAGCGACGCCGCGUGAGGGAUGACGG
rnacentral:rRNA from 1 species